GCCAAUCCGAGAAAGGUUACAGAUCUUUUUACAGUCUUCGGAUUUGUAUGAUCCAGAAGAGGUUCUACACUUGAUUGAAGGAUCAGAAUUAUGGUUGGAAAAGGUUGUUUGGACAUUAUUUUAUUGAGUAUCCUUCAUAUGAAUUUUUUAUCUGAGGUUUUCUCAAAUCCUUUUCUACACGUAGGUGUCUUAAUUCUUUACUCGAUGACAUAGUAAGCUUUG
rnacentral:misc_RNA from 1 species